AAAUAUGAUAUAUUCUUAGUUUAUAUUUUAAAAUCAAAUCGAUUUGUUUAGUUGCUUUCUUUCAUUUAAAUAAAUAGGAGAAAUUUUUUGGUAUAUUUAUUUUAAUUAUUUUUACCGAUUGAUAUUUAAUAUAUAAACUUAAAAUAUCAUCGAUGUACAAUGUAAUCAUAAUAAUUGAGAAGUUUUUAAAUUUUCGCGGUUUUUCAAGUUGAGUUCCGAAUAUUUUCUUUCGGAUGCGCACGCAAGCACGCGCACCUCUUUUCAACAUCCGUUUAGAACAUUUUGAAAAUCAUCCUCGAGAAAUUAUCGCACCAGACUGAUGAACAAAUAGUGAACAACUGCGUCUAAGGAAUAUAAAGACGAGAGAAGACUUUUCUGUAUAAACCUCUUGAUAUUAGCAUGCUGUUUUAUUCUGCCACAAAGAGACACCAGAAUCCAAAAUACCUGAGCAGUGUGCAAGACAUGUAAAGUGUGCCCCACAGAGAGCAGAAGGAGUUGCCAGGCCAAAAGAAUAAAUCUUAAAAACAAAAUAAAUUUUUCAUUUUAAAAA